UACAGAGGGUGCGAGCGUUAAUCGGAAUUACUGGGCGUAAAGCGUGCGUAGACGGUCAAGUAAGUCGGGUGUGAAAGCCCCGGGCUCAGCCUGGGAAUUGCAUUCGAGACUGCGUGGCUAGGGUGCGGAAGAGGGAAGCGGAAUUUCCGGUGUAGCGGUGAAAUGCGUAGAUAUCGGAAGGAACACCAGUGGCGAAAGCGGCUUCCUGGUCCAGCACCGACGUUCAGGCACGAAAGCGUGGGGAGCAAACAGG
rnacentral:rRNA from 1 species